rnacentral:rRNA from 1 species
UACGUAGGGCGCAAGCGUUUAUCCGGAAUUAUUGGGCGUAAAGAGCUCGUAGGCGGUUUGUCGCGUCUGCCGUGAAAGUCCGGGGCUCAACUCCGGAUCUGCGGUGGGUACGGGCAGACUAGAGUGAUGUAGGGGAGACUGGAAUUCCUGGUGUAGCGGUGAAAUGCGCAGAUAUCAGGAGGAGCACCGAUGGCGAAGGCAGGUCUCUGGGCAUUAACUGACGCUGAGGAGCGAAAGCAUGGGGAGCGAACAGG